rnacentral:rRNA from 1 species
GAGUACUGUAGAGGGGGGUAGAAUUUCAGGUGUAGCGGUGAAAUGCGUAGAGAUCUGAAGGAAUACCGGUGGCGAAGGCGGCCCCCUGGACAGAUACUGACACUCAGAUGCGAAAGCGUGGGGAGCAAACAGGAUUAGAUACCCUGGUAGUCCACGCCGUAAACGAUGUCUACUUGGAGGUUGUGGCCUUGAGCCGUGGCUUUCGGAGCUAACGCGUUAAGUAGACCGCCUGGGGAGUACGGUCGCAAGAUUAAAACUCAAAUGAAUUGACGGGGGCCCGCACAAGCGGUGGAGCAUGUGGUUUAAUUCGAUGCAACGCGAAGAACCUUACCUACUCUUGACAUCCAGAGAACUUUCCAGAGAUGGAUUGGUGCCUUCGGGAACUCUGAGACAGGUGCUGCAUGGCUGUCGUCAGCUCGUGUUGUGAAAUGUUGGGUUAAGUCCCGCAACGAGCGC